GAAGAGGGAAUUGGCAAUAAACCGAAAAUUUUAAGGACACGCAGUGAGCCACUUAAUCUACCCGACGAGGAGUUCAGAAAAAAAUUAGGCUCAUCCGACUACAAUUUAGCAGGUUGUGCGAAUAAGCAGCUGAUUUAAAGAUUCUUGCUGCUGUUGCCUUUUAUGGGAAUGGAAUGUACUUACCAGAAAAAAAUUGUGGCCUAGUAUCACCUAACUAUAUAGGCCUCUCGCAUAAAAAAGUACCUAUAAUAUUAUGUUUUCAUUUGUUGCAUUUAUUACCUAAACAUGGCAAUUUUAAUAAUUUACCUUAGAUCUACAUAAAAAUCACAGUUAAGGGGCGAGUUGGCGUUCCUAGUUCCUGCUCAAAGGCGAGUCGUCGCUCCUCCACGGCGAGUUGUUGCGUCUCCACAGCCAGCCGACGCUCCUCAAAGUCGAUGCGACGAUCCGUCUGGCGGAGCCGACGCUCCUCCAGCUCCACGAGCCGAGCACGUACCGCCUAACCAACCCCUUCCGACAGCUGAAAAUAAAAAUUAUAUGUUA